rnacentral:misc_RNA from 1 species
GCAAACUUGGUCAUUUAGAGGAAGUAAAAGUCGUAACAAGGUUUCCGUAGGUGAACCUGCGGAAGGAUCAUUAAUGAACAAAAGGGGGGUGGGGUAGAGUGAAGGCUGUUGCGUUCAAGGCCCCUGUGCUUUGGCCCCUGUGCUUUGAAGUAUACGCCGGAGUCUCUAGUCCCCCCUAUUAUCCUUUUAACCCCUUGUGCAUCCUUGUAGACCUUUCUUAUAGGGUCUAUGUCAUUUUGAUCCACUCGUCCCUUUGAAUGUAUUACAAAAAUGAUAAUAAUGAUAACUUUCAACAAUGGAUCUCUUGGCUCUCGCAUCGAUGAAGAACGCAGC